CAAUAGCGUAUAUUAAAGUUGUUGCAGUUAAAAAGCUCGUAGUUGGAUUUGUGGCGUACGGUGUGUUCCGGGCACUUGUUGUCUGAGUAACCUGCUGUUGCCAUCCUUGGGUGGAACCUGUGUGGCAUUAGGUUGUCGUGCAGGGGAUGCCCAUCAUUUACUGUGAAAAAAUUAGAGUGUUCAAAGCAGGCUUAUGCCGUUGAAUAUAUUAGCAUGGAAUAAUGAGAUAGGACUUUUUUGCUAUUUUGUUGGUUUGCGCAAAGAGGUAAUGAUUAAUAGGGACAGUUGGGGGUAUUCGUAUUCCAUUGUCAGAGGUGAAAUUCUUGGAUUUUUGGAAGACGAACUACUGCGAAAGCAUUUACCAAGGAUGUUUUCAUUAAUCAAGAACGAAAGUUAGGGGAUCGAAGAUGAUUAGAUACCAUCGUAGUCUUAACCAUAAACUAUGCCGACAAGGGAUUGGUGGAGUCUCGUUAUGUCUCCAUCAGC
rnacentral:rRNA from 1 species